rnacentral:rRNA from 1 species
GACGAACGCUGGCGGCGUGCUUAACACAUGCAAGUCGAACGGAAAGGCCCCUUUGGGGGUCCUCGAGUGGCGAACGGGUGAGUAACACGUGAGUAACCUGCCCUUGACUUCGGGAUAACUUCAGGAAACUGGGGCUAAUACCGGAUAGGAAUCCUUGCUGCAUGGUGGGGGUUGGAAAGCUUCGGCGGUUUUGGAUGGACUCGCGGCUUAUCAGCUUGUUGGUGGGGUAGUGGCUUACCAAGGCUUUGACGGGUAGCCGGCCUGAGAGGGCGACCGGCCACAUUGGGACUGAGAUACGGCCCAGACUCCUACGGGAGGCAGCAGUGGGGAAGAUUGCACAAGGGGCGGAAGCCUGAUGCAGCAACGCCGCGGGCGGGAUGACGGCCUUCGGGUUGUAAACCGCUUUCAGCAGGGGCGAAGCUUGUGGUGACGGUACCUGCAGAAGAAGCACCGGCUAACUACGUG